rnacentral:rRNA from 1 species
GUUCGUAGUGACUGCGGAGGAUCAUUAAUAAUGCCCUCUGGCUUCGGUCAGCUGGGUUCAAUGUGUGUCAUCUCUUCGGAGAUGGCCAUCCACACACACCGUGAACUGUGACUUCGGUCAUCACAAACUUUUAGUAAUGAAUGUAAAAAUCAUAACAAAAUAAAACUUUUAACAACGGAUCUCUUGGCUCUCGCAUCGAUGAAGAACGCAGCGAAAUGCGAUAAGUAAUGUGAAUUGCAGAAUUCAGUGAAUCAUCGAAUCUUUGAACGCACCUUGCGCCCUUUGGUAUUCCGAAGGGCAUGCCUGUUUGAGUGUCAUGAAACCUCACUCCACUUGGGUUUUUGCCUGAGUGGUAGUGUAUUGGGUGUUGCCUUGCCAAAGGCUCGCCUUAAAAGAAUAAGCACCUUGGAUGUAAUACGUUUCAUCCUUUCGGGUGGCUAAUAACCCCACAUAACUCAUGAUCUGGCCUCAAAUCAGGUAGGGCUACCCGCUGAACUUAAGCAUAUCAAUAAGCGGAGGAAAAGAAACUAACUAGGAUUCCCUUAGUAACGGCGAGUGAACCGGGAUGAGCUCAAAUUUGAAAUCUGGCGUCUUUCAGGCGUCCGAGUUGUAAUCUAUAGAGGCGUUUUCCGCGCCGGACCGCGUCCAAGUCUCUUGGAAUAGAGUAUCAAAGAGGGUGACAAUCCCGUACUUGACGCGACAACCGGUGCUCUGUGAUACGUUCUCAACGAGUCGAGUUGUUUGGGAAUGCAGCUCUAAAUGGGUGGUAAAUUCCAUCUAAGGCUAAAUAUUGGCGAGAGACCGAUAGCGAACAAGUACCGUGAGGGAAAGAUGAAAAGCACUUUGGAAAGAGAGUUAAACAGCACGUGAAAUUGUUAAAAGGGAAACGAUUGAAGUCAGUCGUGUGAAAGGUAUUCAGCCGUCUCUGGCGGUGUAUUUGCCUUUCACGGGUCAACAUCAGUUUAGUCCGGUAGAAAAAGGCUGGAGGAAGGUGGCACCCUCGGGUGUGUUAUAGCCUCCUGUCACAUGUGCCGGAUUAGACUGAGG